GUUGAGCUGCUGUGAGUUUACGUUGGGAAUCUGUUGAUCGUCUAGUGGAGUUUUAUUCGUGUUCAUGUUAUCAUGUUUUUCGGCGUCAUUGAAUCGUGUACUUCAUUAACAAUGGGAUGUCCAUAUAGUGAGGAUGUUCGUCGGGUUUCGUUAGCGGACGUUUUGGUCUUGCAGAUCCAGUGAGGUGAAGCGCAAGUCAACCGCAACCGGACGAAUUGAAGACUACAGCCCAACAAGGAAAAUGGUAACUAUACCAUUGAAAAUGAUUGAUGGUAUCUGACGGAGUCGAUAAAUGGACCGACGCUUAUUAACAUACAAAUAGCAGAUAUCUUUUGACCCUACAUCAUCGACUCUUUUUACCAGUUACGUGCUGUAAUAAGGAUUUCUGGAAUAGAGGAUUUCUGGAAUUAUAAGGAUUUCUGGAGUUUCAAGGCUAC